UAUACAUCAAAAAUAUGCCACCAUUUCCCCUCCUCAAAGACAUUAUAUUUACUUUCCCCCGUUUUCUUACAAACAGGGAAAAAAAUGAAGUGCAGAAAACAAUUCAAUCUGUGCGCAGCCUCUUCCUCCAGGGAAAAGGCGUGCAGGGGACGAACCCCCACUGGACGAGGUUGCUGCUGUUGUGCUGCUGCCACCGCCGCCGCCUCGGUUUUCACACAACUUGAACUCCUAGUGCACAGAGGAGAGAGGACACCCCCCCUACCUCGCCACGGUUCCUACUUUUCAUGGGGGGGGGAAUCUUCUAGGGUCAAGACAUUUGCUUUGGCUUUCCUAAAACUCACUGCGCCGGCCGCUGGCGAGGAUAAUCCAGCCCAAACCAAGAUCCUUUUGAAUUUCAGCUGCACCCUUUAGAAUUUGCCAGAGCACAUUCAACAUAAUCAUACAUUUCUGCAGUAAUUUACUAGCUUCGUAUCCUUCCAGAUUAUACACUGUAGAACAAAGGCAUCCGAACAAACUGGACCAGCCAUUCUCCAUCAAUUCAUGAGAAGAGAAAUAGCAUUUGAAAAUCUUUAAAGGGGAGAUAACAUUACUUUGAAAUCCUCAAGGAUGGACAUUUUGUGUGUGGAGUUUUUCUUGCCCUUAUCAUCAUGGAGGUAAAGGAAUGUAUUUUCUUGCAUUCUACAAAUCAUUUCCAGUGGUCUACAUUCCAGAGCCUUCCUAGGUGCCUGCAUUUGCUGAAAACCUCCCAGUGUCCUCAGCUGGGCUUUCCUAUGACUGUGGAAUGCAGGGUGGUAACAUACCAUGCACCUGACAGCUGUUUGUUGUCAUUUUAAGUUAAGUCUUUCUUACUGUUGAAAAAAUCAGGUGGUUUUUUUACAGUGAAACAAAGGAGCCCUUAAAAACAAACACUGUGAGUGUACCUAUCUCAGAUGCUUGGUAGCCAGCCUCCCUGGGUUCCCAUGCUUAUUUAUUUAUUUUAUUUAUUAUUUGAUUUAUAUCCCACCCUUUCUCCCAGCAGGAGCCCAGGGCAGCGAAUUUAAAUGCUUCAAUUUAAGCUUGUAGUAAACCUGUUGUAAUUAGUAGUAAUUCCUCCAGUUGGCCUUUUCUCAGAUCAGGAAAUGUGGGCAGCUGGAGAGGCCAGAGAGCAUUGCAGAAAUGUUUAAUGGAAAGGGUUGGAGGAACCCAUUGACUUCAGCCACUUUGCAACAAGAAGGUAAACUCAGCUGUGUCCCUCCCAAAAUUCUAAAUUGUCUUGAGAACGAGGAAGAAAACUUACGAGAGAUUGGAAGACAGGUUUUGGCACAGCUGCCCUCAUUAUGGCUCCCGUGCACAGUCAUUGCUGCUUGAGUGUUUUUGAGAUGGUGGCUUGAAAUGUUAUCUGCAGCUGGGUGAUCCCCCAUUUGCAAGUCACUGCUUGCCAUCAACCUCUUGUGACUACUCUCUGUCUAAGCUACAGAGUUUGAAAUGAUGGCCUAGGGCAAUCCAUUCACCUGGGUCCAACUAACAAGAAGAAUGAGGCUUUCCUAACAAAAAGCCAUUUAUCAAAAUUCAUGGCUUUUCAAGACAAUACAAGGAGCACAACUUAAGGAAGCAAUCAUACUUUCAGGAAAGUAGUACUGAGCAAGUUAGAAUUUUGUAAUUUAUUUCAAUGCGAAGUCCUAUGAAUUUGGGGUAGGUUUUUUUAAAAGAAAAUGUAAUGCAAUUGUAAACAACUUGUCUGUAAUCCCUAAGAGUUUGAUGAA